UACGAAGGGGGCUAGCGUUGCUCGGAAUCACUGGGCGUAAAGGGUGCGUAGGCGGGUUUUUAAGUCAGGGGUGAAAUCCUGGAGCUCAACUCCAGAACUGCCUUUGAUACUGAAGAUCUCGAGUCCGGGAGAGGUGAGUGGAACUGCGAGUGUAGAGGUGAAAUUCGUAGAUAUUCGCAAGAACACCAGUGGCGAAGGCGGCUCACUGGCCCGGUACUGACGCUGAGGCACGAAAGCUAGGGGAGCAAACGGG
rnacentral:rRNA from 1 species